GACGAACGCUGGCGGCGUGCUUAACACAUGCAAGUCGUACGGUAAGGCCCUUUCGGGGGUCCACGAGUGGCGAACGGGUGAGUAACACGUGAGUAACCUGCCCACAACUUUGGGAUAACGCUAGGAAACUGGUGCUAAUACUGGAUAUGUGCUCCUGCUGCAUGGUGGGGGUUGGAAAGCUCCGGCGGUUGUGGAUGGACUCGCGGCCUAUCAGCUUGUUGGUGGGGUAGUGGCCUACCAAGGCGGCGACGGGUAGCCGGCCUGAGAGGGUGACCGGCCACAUUGGGACUGAGAUACGGCCCAGACUCCUACGGGAGGCAGAAGGGGGGAAUAUUGCACAAUGGGCGCAAGCCUGAUGCAGCAACGCCGCGUGCGGGAUGACGGCCUUCGGGUUGUAAACCGCUUUCAGCAGGGACGAAGCUUUUUGUGACGGUACCUGCAGAAGAAGCACCGGCUAACUACGUG
rnacentral:rRNA from 1 species